rnacentral:rRNA from 1 species
AUUGAACGCUGGCGGCAUGCUUUACACAUGCAAGUCGAACGGUAACAGGCCGCAAGGUGCUGACGAGUGGCGAACGGGUGGGUAAUGCAUCGGAACGUGCCCAGUCGUGGGGGAUAACGCAGCGAAAGCUGUGCUAAUACCGCAUACGAUCUAUGGAUGAAAGCGGGGGACCGUAAGGCCUCGCGCGAUUGGAGCGGCCGAUGUCAGAUUAGGUAGUUGGUGGGGUAAAGGCUCACCAAGCCAACGAUCUGUAGCUGGUCUGAGAGGACGACCAGCCACACUGGGACUGAGACACGGCCCAGACUCCUACGGGAGGCAGCAGUGGGGAAUUUUGGACAAUGGGCGCAAGCCUGAUUCAGCAAUGCCGCGUGCAGGAAGAAGGCCUUCGGGUUGUAAACUGCUUUUGUACGGAACGAAAAGGUUUGGGUUAAUACCCUGGGCCGAUGACGGUACCGUAAGAAUAAGCACCGGCUAACUACGUGCCAGCAGCCGCGGUAA